CUCUGCAUAGACGGAGGAAACAACUACCACUGUGUCUGCAUAGGUAGUGGAUUCAUAGGGACACACUGUGAGAAUUUGAUGCCUUUUUGUUGGUCAAAACCUUGUCUCAGUGAUACAACAUGUGAAGACAAUGUUGACAGUUAUAUUUGUCACUGCUGGCCUGGAUGCACAGGUGCCCUGUGUGAGACAGACAUAAAUGAAUGUAGUAGCAACCCCUGCUAAUUUGGGGGUGGGGAUGUGUCAAGCUGUCUACAGAAGAUCUACUCAGACACAUUGCUGGCCUGCUUUCAGCCUUCAACUACCAUAGUGCCUCAGGUUAUGCUUGUAUCUGUCAGCCA
rnacentral:lncRNA from 1 species